GAUAAACGCUGGCGGCGUGCAUGAGACAUGCAAGUCGAACGAAGGAUCGGGCUUGCUCGAUCCUUAGUGGCGGACGGCUGAGUAACGCGUAGGUGACCUACCCCGAAGUGGGGAAUAACUGCCCGAAAGGGUGGCUAAUACCGCAUGUGGUCGCACGUUCAUUCGUGCGAGUAAAGCCGCAUGGCGCUUCGGGAGGGGCCUGCGUCCGAUUAGCUCGUUGGUGGGGUAAUGGCUUACCAAGGCGACGAUCGGUAGGUGGUCUGAGAGGACGAUCACCCAGACUGGGACUGAGACACGGCCCAGACUCCUACGGGAGGCAGCAGUCGGGAAUUUUGCUCAAUGGGGGAAACCCUGAAGCAGCAACGCCGCGUGAGGGAUGAAGGCCUUCGGGUUGUAAACCUCUUUUGUCAGGGACGAUGAUGACGGUACCUGGCGAAUAAGCCACGGCUAACUACGUG
rnacentral:rRNA from 1 species